UACAGAGGGUGCGAGCGUUAAUCGGAAUUACUGGGCGUAAAGCGUGCGCAGGCGGUUUCUUAAGUCAGAUGUGAAAGCCCCGGGCUUAACCUGGGAACUGCGUUUGAAACUGGGAGACUUGAGUGUGGCAGAGGGGGGUGGAAUUCCACGUGUAGCAGUGAAAUGCGUAGAGAUGUGGAGGAAUACCGAUGGCGAAGGCAGCCCCCUGGGAUAACACUGACGCUCAUGCACGAAAGCGUGGGGAGCAAACAGG
rnacentral:rRNA from 1 species